rnacentral:rRNA from 1 species
GACGAACCACACGAACGUUAUUCGGAAUUACUGGGCUUAAAGGGUGCGUAGGCGGCGUAGAAAGUUGGGUGUGAAAUCCCUCGGCUCAACCGAGGAACUGCGCCCAAAACUACUAUGCUUGAGGAAGAUAGAGGUAAGCGGAACUUACGGUGGAGCGGUGAAAUGCGUUGAUAUCGUAAAGGAACACCUGUGGCGAAAGCGGCUUACUGGGUCUUUUCUGACGCUGAUGCACGAAAGCCAGGGGAGCAAACGGG